UACGUAGGGGGCGAGCGUUGUCCGGAUUUAUUGGGCGUAAAAGGCUUGUAGGUGGCCACGCCAAGUCGGAUGUGAAAUCUCCCGGCUCAACUGGGAGGGGUCAUUCGAUACUGGCGGGCUCGAGGCCGGUAGGGGGAAGCGGAAUUCCCGGUGUAGUGGUGGAAUGCGUAGAUAUCGGGAGGAACACCAGUGGCGAAGGCGGUUAGCUGGGCAGUUGCUGGACACUGGAGGCGCGACAGC
rnacentral:rRNA from 1 species